CAGCUGAUUACUUGUCUUUUCAGUAGUGUCUACUGCAGGAUGGAUAUACAAGUAUAACAUAUGUUUUGGUUUGAUAUUUUUCAUAUGUGAACUAUCACAAUUAAAGCACAAAGACAUAAAAUUACACCCCGAGACCAUUCACAAGUGUGACAACAGAGAAGAAACGCUUUCCGGAAGAAAAGUUCUUCAGGCGAGCAGGAGCGUUUACUUUGUCGACUCAUCCAGUUUAGCGGAGAGCAUCAUCCCCUAAUUGACAUGUGGGAAAAAAAUCAUUGAAAGUUGUUCAGCGUACAGUGUACCAGAGGAAGCAUUAGGAAAGAGAAGACAGGACGUGAAAAGGUGCUCAACAGAUGUUGGUGAGACUUUAUUUCUGCAAAUGCAUUAAAGGUCACUCACAUUCUAGUUAGCCAUAAAUGUAAACCUGAUUUUAGAUCGUAUUUAAAUGAGAUUAAUAACUCCAGCUACUUGUAGGCCUACAGUUCUGUAUAUUUCACACUAAAUAAAUUGUGAUGAAGCCUGAAUAAUAAUCACACCAUGUUCAUUUGUUGGUCAGAGGAGAACUGAUCCCUAAACUAUACUUUCUCCCAAGGGUUUUUUUCCUUUCUCCAUGUCACCUGAUGGAGUUUGGGUUCCUUGCCACUGUCGACUUUUGGCUUGCUUAUUUGGGGACACAUAAUAUUCAGCAAUAUUGUUGAUCUGACUCCACUGACACUAUUGGAUAAGGACUGAACUGAGCUAGAUGAUGACACCACUGUUUUCUGCACAACUGCUAUGUAGAUGCAUUGGAACACUGAUCAGUCAACACUGAUUUCAACUGAACAAUGAUACUUUUUACUGUUUAGAGCUGCUUCACAGCAGAAGUGAAUUUUGUUUGCAUCAUUAUUUAUAUUUUUAUCACUGUAAAGUAAUUAAAAUAUAUCUGACGAUAUUUAGUACUGGAUAUACACAAAAAUAGAAUAAAUCAGGAUUUAUUUUUUCACAGCACUGUACACCAGUAUUUAUGUUUAGUGUGACAUUAAUGUGUGGAAAUGAAAUUUUUUUAGUGUGUGAUUGCUAUUUUCAGGAAAAUGCACUGGUAACAACUAAAAUAAAGAAGACCAAAAAUAUAAUUCAACAGAACAAGCACUCAAAUAAUGAAACUAAGACCUGUGGGAGUGCUGGAGAAAUCAAGUGUACCAAGUCCUCUGUCUCCUCAGCCAUGGAAGAGAUCUUCAGACAUGAAGAGAUUGAGGAGUUAAAUGAAGUCAAAGAGCUAAAAGAAGAUCUACAAUAUUAGUGCCAAUUCGGCAUGAAAACAGAGAGAGAGCUGAGGCAGUGGAAAGAAAUGCAUGUUAUUGUGUAGUUGCAUUGACUAUCAGUGGAGGGACAGAAAGCUCUGAGAUUUCAUUAUAAAGAUCUUCAUUUGUGUUCUGAAGAUGAACAAAAGACUUGCGGGUUUUGAACGAAAUGAGGACUACAUCAAAAAUAGUGUUUAAACAGUCAUAAGAACCAUGCAGAACAAUGAGGAUAACCUCUUCAAAAAAUGAAACCUGCCUGAAUAAUGUGCAUGAUUGCGUGAUUUGUAAGUAAACACUAAGUACAUUUAGUGUAACUCACAGCCUGUUAUUUUAAGUUUAAAGAAAAGUAAAAUAAUUUAUUGUUGCAUUGCUGU